rnacentral:rRNA from 1 species
ACAGAGGGCGGCCAACUGGCGAAAGUGAGCGAAUCCAAAAAAGUGGGUGGUAGUCCGGAUUGUAUUUUGCAACUCGACUCCAGGAGGUUGGAAUCGUUAGUAAUGGUGGAUCAGAAUGCCAGGGUGAAUAUGUUCCGGGUCUUUGUACACACCGCCGGUCACACCAUGGGAGUGGGCUACAAAAGAAGUGGGUAGUUUAACUUUGGGGAGGACCCUCACCA